GUGGGUGUCGCCUAGCGGUUAAGGCGCCAGGUUGUGGCCCUGGAGACCGGGGGUUCGAAUCCCCUCACCCACCCCA
rnacentral:tRNA from 1 species